CAGGCCUAACACAUGCAAGUCGAACGAUACACCGAGUCGCUUGCUACUCGGGGAAAGUGGCUAACGGGUGUAGUGCACACGUGAGCAAUCUGCCCUCGAGUGAGGAAUAACCCCGCGUAAAGCGGGGCUAAUACCGCAUGUAUUCUCUGGAGCAUAAGCUUUCAUAGUUAAAGCCCCUUAGGGGGCGCUUGAGGAUGAGCUUGCGUCCUAUUAGCUUGUUGGUAGGGUAACGGCCUACCAAGGUUAUGAUGGGUAGCCGGCCUGAGAGGGUGUCCGGCCACACUGGAACUGGGACACGGUCCAGACUCCUACGGGAGGCAGCAGUGGGGAAUUUUGCGCAAUGGGCGAAAGCCUGACGCAGCGACGCCGCGUGGAGGAUGAAGGCUUUCGGGUUGUAAACUCCUGUCAGAGGUGAAGAAAGCCCCCCCUAGGGGGGGCUUGACGGUAACCUCAGAGGAAGCCCCGGCUAACUACGUGCCAGCAGCCGCGGUAAU
rnacentral:rRNA from 1 species